rnacentral:rRNA from 2 species
UGCAAGUCGAACGAACUCUGGUAUUGAUUGGUGCUUGCAUCAUGAUUUACAUUUGAGUGAGUGGCGAACUGGUGAGUAACACGUGGGAAACCUGCCCAGAAGCGGGGGAUAACACCUGGAAACAGAUGCUAAUACCGCAUAACAACUUGGACCGCAUGGUCCGAGUUUGAAAGAUGGCUUCGGCUAUCACUUUUGGAUGGUCCCGCGGCGUAUUAGCUAGAUGGUGGGGUAACGGCUCACCAUGGCAAUGAUACGUAGCCGACCUGAGAGGGUAAUCGGCCACAUUGGGACUGAGACACGGCCCAAACUCCUACGGGAGGCAGCAGUAGGGAAUCUUCCACAAUGGACGAAAGUCUGAUGGAGCAACGCCGCGUGAGUGAAGAAGGGUUUCGGCUCGUAAAACUCUGUUGUUAAAGAAGAACAUAUCUGAGAGUAACUGUUCAGGUAUUGACGGUAUUUAACCAGAAAGCCACGGCUAACUACGUGCCAGCAGCCGCGGUAAUACGUAGGUGGCAAGCGUUGUCCGGAUUUAUUGGGCGUAAAGCGAGCGCAGGCGGUUUUUUAAGUCUGAUGUGAAAGCCUUCGGCUCAACCGAAGAAGUGCAUCGGAAACUGGGAAACUUGAGUGCAGAAGAGGACAGUGGAACUCCAUGUGUAGCGGUGAAAUGCGUAGAUAUAUGGAAGAACACCAGUGGCGAAGGCGGCUGUCUGGUCUGUAACUGACGCUGAGGCUCGAAAGUAUGGGUAGCAAACAGGAUUAGAUACCCUGGUAGUCCAUACCGUAAACGAUGAAUGCUAAGUGUUGGAGGGUUUCCGCCCUUCAGUGCUGCAGCUAACGCAUUAAGCAUUCCGCCUGGGGAGUACGGCCGCAAGGCUGAAACUCAAAGGAAUUGACGGGGGCCCGCACAAGCGGUGGAGCAUGUGGUUUAAUUCGAAGCUACGCGAAGAACCUUACCAGGUCUUGACAUACUAUGCAAAUCUAAGAGAUUAGACGUUCCCUUCGGGGACAUGGAUACAGGUGGUGCAUGGUUGUCGUCAGCUCGUGUCGUGAGAUGUUGGGUUAAGUCCCGCAACGAGCGCAACCCUUAUUAUCAGUUGCCAGCAUUAAGUUGGGCACUCUGGUGAGACUGCCGGUGACAAACCGGAGGAAGGUGGGGAUGACGUCAAAUCAUCAUGCCCCUUAUGACCUGGGCUACACACGUGCUACAAUGGAUGGUACAACGAGUUGCGAACUCGCGAGAGUAAGCUAAUCUCUUAAAGCCAUUCUCAGUUCGGAUUGUAGGCUGCAACUCGCCUACAUGAAGUCGGAAUCGCUAGUAAUCGCGGAUCAGCAUGCCGCGGUGAAUACGUUCCCGGGCCUUGUACACACCGCCCGUCACACCAUGAGAGUUUGUAACACCCAAAGUCGGUGGGGUAACCUUUUAGGAACCAGCCGCCU